GGGAAGUUGGUAGAGGUGGUCAAUACACUAGACUGAAAAUCUAGGGAUUUUGGUUCGAGUCCAAGACUUCCCGCCA
rnacentral:tRNA from 1 species